rnacentral:rRNA from 1 species
UGAGGAAUAUUGGUCAAUGGGCGCAAGCCUGAACCAGCCAUGCCGCGUGCAGGAAGACGGCCUUAUGGGUUGUAAACUGCUUUUACAUAAGACUAACCGUAUAUUUGCGAAUAUACCUGAAUGUAUUAUGAGAAUAAGGAUCGGCUAACUCCGUGCCAGCAGCCGCGGUAAUACGGAGGAUCCGAGCGUUAUCCGGAUUUAUUGGGUUUAAAGGGUGCGUAGGCUGACUGAUAAGUCAGCGGUGAAAAGCAUAGGCUUAACCUAUGUCUUGCCGUUGAUACUGUCAGACUAGAAUAUAAAUGGAGUAGGCGGAAUGAAUCAUGUAGAGGUGACAUUCAUAGAUAUGAUUUAGAACACCGUUCGCGAAGGCGGCUUACUAAGAUAUAAUUGACGCUGAUGC